UCAUGGUGACUCUAGAAAGCAAGUGUGU
rnacentral:piRNA from 1 species